rnacentral:tRNA from 1 species
GCAUUAGUGGUACAGAGGCUAGCAUAGCUGCCUUCCAAACAUUUGACCUGGGUUUGAUUACCAGCUAAAGCA